rnacentral:rRNA from 1 species
UCGAGAAUUUUUCACAAUGGGCGAAAGCCUGAUGGAGCGACGCCGCGUGGGGGAUGAAUGGCUUCGGCCCGUAAACCCCUGUCAUUCGCGAGCAAUGCCUUCCCGAUAACACCGGGACGGUUGAUCGUAGCGAAAGAGGAAGGGACGGCUAACUCUGUGCCAGCAGCCGCGGUAAUACAGAGGUCCCAAGCGUUGUUCGGAUUCACUGGGCGUAAAGGGUGCGUAGGUGGUGAGGUAAGUUCGGUGUGAAAUCUCCGGGCUCAACCCGGAAAAGGCAUUGAAUACUAUCUUGCUAGAGGUUUGGAGGGGGUACUGGAAUUCUCGGUGUAGCAGUGAAAUGCGUAGAUAUCGAGAGGAACACCGGUGGCGAAGGCGAGUCCCUGGACAACACCUGACACU